rnacentral:rRNA from 1 species
GAUCAUAGCUCAGGAUGAACGCUAGCGACAGGCUUAACACAUGCAAGUCGAGGGGCAUCAUGAGGUAGCAAUACCUUGAUGGCGACCGGCGCACGGGUGAGUAACGCGUAUGCAACCUGCCUGAUACCGGGGUAUAGCCCAUGGAAACGUGGAUUAACACCCCAUAGUACUUUUAUCCUGCCUGGGGAGUGGGUAAGUUAAAUUGUUACGAAGGUAGUCGGAGUGGGCAUGCGUCCUAUUAGUUAGG